GUCCUGCUGAUUGACCUUGUGUAACUACAUUAGCGCACUGCGUGGGUAGUUAAUGGUACCUUUGGGGUUCUUGGCCUGUUUGGAACGGGCAGCUGCCAGAUCGAAGUGCGCCUUGUCCGAGUUCUCACAGAGCAGGAUGAUCCGACACAAACAGUCGGCAGCGAAGACUCGAGUGACCCACCGCGGCGCAACUGACGGCUUCGACUUGUCAUCGUCACCAAGGCUCGUGAACAUCGUGUCAUCGUCGAUUUCAUCUUUCUUCUCAGAGUCCUCCUCGUCCCUCUCAACCUCAAAAGCAACCGCACCACCGACAUCUGAAAACAGAAAAUUGUUUGUGUCAUCUAUAAAAAUCUAAUCCAACAUUACAUCUUAAUGCUAUAUAUUUUCUCUGCGUAGGAUAACGUGGUGCUGUCAGUGUACGUUAUCUUUACCUCUAGUUGCUGCGAGGACAUCCUUACAAAGUUUUAGCCAAUGAGAGAGCUUUUCCACGGCCAGCGACGACAGCAUGUGGCCCAGCGUGUCAUGGAUAUCCGAGCACAGUUUUCUGUCCGUUUCUCUGUCGAGCAUCCCGAACAGAACUCCCUCCAGACCUGUCUCUGUGAUGUUCAGGUCUAUUUUGGAGACAAAGCAGGCAUAAUUUUACCAACACAAUGCCACCGAGAAUACUGGAGACAGUCUUUGUGUGGUUUGCCCAUUGCACUCACUGAUGGCGGAGUGGUCUUUGCUGUCACCUGCCUUCUUGGCCAGGCUCAUGGCGUAUUCACAGACUUCAGCAGCCUCUCUCUGGGCGAGUUGUCUGAGGCAGGCCACAGCGGCACGACGGAGGAGCAGGUGAGAGCUGCACAGGCACGAGAUGGCAGCGGCCUGAACCAGAGAGUCCGAGUGAUCCUGCAUUAUGGCGCAGCCCACAAGACAUGACGAGCGAAUGGUGGAGAUAGUAACACCAUUUCCUAAAGGACACAUCGAAUAGAAAUUAGAUUUGAGCAAUAACAGGAGUCUGUUCAUUAUACUGCCACCUGCUGGAAAUGCAUCAUUGUCAGAAGCGAUCAAAUAUUUAUGUAAAAUGUAUACUGUAGUUAUUGUUAGGUCGGAGUCUAUAAUGAGGGCCAAAGAGUGCAGCACCCAA
rnacentral:lncRNA from 1 species